rnacentral:misc_RNA from 1 species
UGGACCUGAGCCGUGUUUGCUGACU